ensembl:lncRNA
UGCAGGUGUGGAAAGGAGGAGGGGGAAGGUGCUGCUCUGUGACUGUCACUAGGUUGAAAACCUCCUGCUUCUACUCCAUAGCACAGUUAAAAAAUAAGGUUUCCCUCAAUGAACACAAUCCGGCUGACACCCACAUUAGAUCAUAUGGUCUGGUUCACUCUUUAUCAAAACCCAAUCUGGGCUUCCCUGGUGGCUCAGUGGUAAAGAAUCCUCUUGCCGCUGUAGAAGACACGGAUUGCAUGAUCCCACAUGCUCGGAAGCAUCUAAGUCCACGUUACAACUACUGAGCCUGUGCUCUGGAUCCCUGAACCUUAACUUCUGAGCCCCUGCACGGUAACUGCUGAAGCCUGUGUACCCUGGAGCCUGUUCUGGGCAACAAGAGAAGCUAUCACAGUGAGAAGCCCACACACCAGGACAAAGCCCCCGGCCACUCGCCGCACCUGGAGAAUGCCCAUGCACAGCAAGGAAGACCCAGCACAGCCCCCAAAUAAAUAAAUAAAUGAAAAUUAAAGCAAAGAACAAAAAAACAAUCUACUAUAGUACUAUCUGGUAGAUGAUGAAUAACAGCAGCAGUUGUUACCAGAGAGAGAGGUGAAAGGAGAAAGAGAAGGGGAACAGGGUAUUAAAGAAAAAGAAGANNNNNNNNNNNNNNNNNNNNNNNNNNNNNNNNNNNNNNNNNNNNNNNNNNNNNNNNNNNNNNNNNNNNNNNNNNNNNNNNNNNNNNNNNNNNNNNNNNNGAAGGGGAACAGGGUAUUAAAGAAAAAGAAGAACAAUUAGAACAGGAGGAGAAUACACGUUAUCUUGAUAUGCGGACCAUCUUAAUUUUAUAAAGCAGAACUGUUUUAGCUAAGUUUCACAUCCAGUUUCUUCCCUCUUAUAGUAAGCUAUAUGAACUCAGCACACUCAACCUCUCUGAGUUCCCAUAUCUGUAAAACAGGUUAAAAGUAUUACCUAAUUCAUAAUGUUGAAAUAAAGAUGGAAUGAGGUAAAGGUUUAGGGCAUGUAAUUCAGAGCAUGGCUGUUAUCCCAGGAAAUUAAGCUUCCUGUAAAUGUUAGCUUUUAUUGUUUUCUGAUAUAUAUCAUAGCAAUCGUUUAAGUUGGGCAAGGGAAAUCAUUUUAUUGAAGUCCAAUGACCUGCCCAAGCUCACAGAGCCAGUAAGAAGCACAACGGGAGUGAAUAUCCAAGUAUUCUAGUACCUAAUCUACUUUACUGUUAACUAUACUUCAUUUUAAGAACGCUCAAACUCUUAAGGUAUAGAAAAUUAAUAAUAAAAAAUUUUGAAUAACAUGUCUUUGUAGACUUGUUUAAAAACUGUGACCAGUUUUACAAUUUUUUUGAAACUUUAUCUUUGUGGAGGAACAAAUAUUUCUAUCUUUUAAGUUUUAGUAAGAACCUCACCUCCAAAAUCCUAAGGACUUUACUGAAUGUUAGUUUAUUUCGAAUAUGUGCCUUUAAUCAGAUGUUAAAUUGCAUCUGUUGUCAUACCUAUUUUCAGAUAGAAGAAAAGAAAUUACAAAAAGUCACACAUAGCAAGUCAUAAAGAUGCCAUAGGGACCACUGUCAAAAUCUAGGUCUCUUGCAAUCAACUGGGAAAUGAAACAAUUUUGAGGCAAGAAGCCAUGCAUGAGCGGAAAAGGCUGAAACUUAUCCUGGCUUGGAAUGUUUGGGGGUAGGGUUCACUGAAACCUUGGCUGCUGUUAUAGAUAUUUGAAAUAUUCAGAUUCAGAGCAGAUACCACAUCUGCUGUAAAAACCACUUAAACGGUGAUUUCUACUGACAACUCACUAGUUAACUGGGUAACUAUAUUCUGCAUGUUGUCAAUGUUCAUUUCAAGCUAGUCACUCUUUCCCACUGACAUCAAACACAAUUGGUCUAAACUGUACCUGCAUACUAAGAUGUGAAGAAUGCCAGAGCUUCGAAAGGUCUUCUUCUGACACCCUUUAUUUUCGAAGAGGUCUGGAAGCAAGUGAUUAUCUUCACAAAACGGUGACUGGUUUAUUCUUAGACUGACUCUUCAAAGUAAGGUCAGCAGCUGGAAUGGGUGUCUGGCUCUUUAUUAGCUACCCUAGACAGUUUUUCUUCUUUAGCCAAGAAAGAAAGCUAAGGUGGAAUUCAGGCUAGCCUAGCAUGCAGGAUGGACUGGAACAUUUCUUCUUUCUUCCCCAUAUUACUCCACUCCCCCACCCUAUCAACACUGUGUUU